GAGCUGUGAUGAAGCCUUCUGCGCUAAAUGUGAUUGUUGGGUCCUUCACGACCGUCCGAUUAAUAAGGGCGAAAUCGUGGCGUAUCUGAGCUC